rnacentral:misc_RNA from 1 species
GAUGAAAACGUAGCGAAAUGCGAUAAGUAAUGUGAAUUGCAGAAUUCAGUGAAUCAUCGAAUCUUUGAACGCACAUUGCGCCCUCUGGUAUUCCGGGGGGCAUGCCUGUUCGAGCGUCAUUAUAACCACUCAAGCUCUCGCUUGGUAUUGGGGUUCGCGGUUUCGCGGCCCCUAAAAUCAGUGGCGGUGCCUGUCGGCUCUACGCGUAGUAAUACUUCUCGCGAUUGAGUUCGAUAGGUCUACUUGCCAGUAACCCCCAAUUUUUACAGGUUGACCUCGGAUCAGGUAGGGAUACCCGCUGAACUUAAGCAUAUCAAUAAGCGGAGGA